rnacentral:rRNA from 1 species
CGGACGGGUGGGUAAUGUCUGGGAAACUGCCUGAUGGAGGGGGAUAACUACUGGAAACGGUAGCUAAUACCGCAUAACGUCGCAAGACCAAAGAGGGGGACCUUCGGGCCUCUUGCCAUCGGAUGUGCCCAGAUGGGAUUAGCUAGUAGGUGGGGUAACGGCUCACCUAGGCGACGAUCCCUAGCUGGUCUGAGAGGAUGACCAGCCACACUGGAACUGAGACACGGUCCAG